GACUGUUAAACUACCUGCUGGAAUGCUGAUAGAUGUGAAGGUGCUUGGUCCAGAGGCGUUGUUGCACGUUCAUGAUGGAUACAGUGUAACUCAGUGGAAAAGUCUCAAUGCCUUGUUUGUCAAAUUUUCCCAAUCAAAUGUGGAGUAUGGCAGUCUCUCGCUUCAACUGGUUUAUCAGAACUCUGCUGGAGAGUUGUCCACCACAUUGGUAUCGUGUUUCCCUCAGCCUUUCAAGUCAAGAAAUGUAGAAGAACCUUUUGGGGAUUUAUGGGGAUUCCCAAAUAUUCCCACUGCACCCUAUAUGAUAGAUCAGACCCCAGUCAUCACCAAUGUUCCUUCAACAUCUGUAGCAUCCACCCCACUAGGAGCUUUUUGCUUGUGGGGCUUCCCAUUCAUUCCUACUGGAGCUUUUAUUCCUUGUAAAGAAUCAACAACUCCAGCCACUACAACAACAACAACUCCAGCCACUACGGCAGCCGCAACUGCAGCUGCCACUACGACAACAGCCACUGCCACUACAACUGCAGACACCACAGAGACAACACCUGCCACCACAACAGCCGCUGCCACCACUACCGCAGCCCCUGCCACCAUAACUGUAGACGCCACUACGACUGCAGCUGAAAUUACAACAGACCCUGCCACCACAACUGCAGACACCAAUACGACUACUACCACAACUUUAGCUUCCACUACGACAGUCUCUGCCACCACAGCAACAGCAGCCGCCAGCGCAACUGUAGCCGCCACUACGACUACAGCAGCCACCACAACAGCAGCCGCUGCCACCACAACAGCAGCCGCUGCCACCACAACUUAUGCUGGUACCACAAGAGCAGCAUCUGCAACAACAACAGCAGCUGCCACUACGACUGCUAACACAACAGCAGCUGCCACUACGACGACAGCCCCUGCCACCACAACUGUAGACACCACUACAACUACUACCACAACUGCAGCUUCCACUACAAUAGCCUCUGCCACCAUAGCAACAGCAGUCGGCAGCACAACUGUAGCCGCCACUACAACUACAGCAGCCACUACAACAGUAGCAACUGCCACCACAACUCCAGCUGGUACCACAAGAGCUGCAACCACAACUGCAGCCGCCACUACGACAGCUGCCACUUUGACAACACCCCCUGCCACCACAACUUUAGCCGCUACCACAACAGCUGCCACUGCAAAUACAAGUGCAUAUGCUACCACAGCUGCAGCUGCCCCUAUGACAACAGCUGCUACCACCACAGCUGCAGCUGCCACUAUGACGACAGCCACUACCACCACAACUGCAGCUGACACCACAACUGCAGCUGACACCACUACUGCAGCCUCUGCCAGCAUAACUAAGGACGCCACUACGACAGCCCCUGCCACCACAACUGGACACACCACUAAGACAGCCCAUGCCACCAACUCUUUAGCCGCUACAAGAACAGCAGCCAUUGCAACCACAAGUGCAGCUGCCACUAUGACGACAGCCGCUGACACCACAACUGCAUUUGCCACCACGACAACAGCCAUUGCCACCACUACGACAGCCCCUGCCACCGUAACUGCAGCCACUAAUAGGAUAGCCCCUGCCAACACAACUGCAGACAUUACCACAACUGUAGGUUCCACUAUGACAGUCCCUGCCACCACAGCAACAGCAGCUGCCACCAUAACUGUAGCCACCACUAUGAAUACAGCAGCCACUACAACAGUAACAACUGCAACCACAACUGCAGCUGCCCCUACGACAACAGCCGCUACUACCACAGCUGCAGCUGCCACUAUGACGACAGCCACUGCCACCACAACUGUAGCUGACACCACAACUGCAGCUGACACCACAACUGCAGCCCCUGCCACCAUAACUAAGGACGCCACUACGACAGCCCCUGCCACCACAAUUGGAGACACCACUAAGACAGCCCAUGCCACCAAAACUUUAACUGCU
rnacentral:lncRNA from 1 species